AAAUCCUGCAUUAUGAGCAAAUAAGGGUAGGAGAGGUGAGCAAGUAAAAGAAGCUAGAUAUACCCCACUGUAACUAUAAUUAAUUUCAUGCAGUCAUCAGCGGUACCAAGCAGCUCCGCAAUGGAAAAGGAAGGCCUGGCACGGUGCCUCGAAAAGCUGGAACAUUAUGGCGUUACUGUGCGGUCCCUAACAACAGACCGCCACCCAGCCAUCCGGACUUACUGCCGCAUAAAGAAGCCUGGCAUGCCACAUUACUUUGAUGUCUGGCACAUAAAUAAAGGAGUGAAAAAGAAGCUCAAAGCGGCAGCGAAAAGUAAAGGAUGCGAGUCCAUAAAGC
rnacentral:lncRNA from 1 species